AUGGAAAUGCCGGAAAGGAAGUCCUCGUUGCCUGUUUCCUUUUGGAACAUUUUUAUCUUUUUCCUUGUCUUCAUCUUUCCUUUGUGCUUCUCCU
rnacentral:ribozyme from 1 species